rnacentral:piRNA from 1 species
AGUGACUAAAGAAGAGAGGCCAGAGG